UACUAGGAUAAACAAAGGUAACAUGAUGGCAUUUAUAAAGAUCUACUCAAGUGGAGAUGAAGUAGUGUGAUUAGAAUUUAUCAAAUUGAGCAUGUCUUAAAGGUAGGGACAACCAACAUAGCAACAUGUCAAAGGAUGUUUUUAUGUAAGGUACUCCCCCAAGCUUGAAUUUUGCAAAAUUCAAGUUUGGAUGAAUUUAAUUCAAUGUUGUAUG
rnacentral:lncRNA from 1 species